rnacentral:tRNA from 1 species
UGGUGCAGUGGUAGCACAUCAGUCUCAUAAGCUGAAGGUCCUGAGUUCGAUCCUCAG